UACGUAGGGUGCAAGCGUUAAUCGGAAUUACUGGGCGGAAAGCGUGCGCAGGCGGUUUUGUAAGUCUGACGUGAAAUCCCCGGGCUCAACCUGGGAAUUGCAUUGGAGACUGCAAGGCUAGAAUCUGGCAGAGGGGGGUAGAAUUCCACGUGUAGCAGUGAAAUGCGUAGAGAUGUGGAGGAACACCGAUGGCGAAGGCAGCCCCCUGGGUCAAGAUUGACGCUCAUGCACGAAAGCGUGGGGAGCAAACAGG
rnacentral:rRNA from 1 species